ACCUGACUGCUAUCGGAUUGAUACUAAGCCAUGCGAGUCAUUGUAGCAAUACAAGGCAUACGGCUCAGUAACGCGUAGUCAACCUAACCUAUGGACGGGAAUAACCUCGGGAAACUGAGAAUAAUGCCCGAUAGAACAUUAUACCUGGAAUGGUUUAUGUUCCAAAUGAUUUAUCGCCGUAGGAUGGGACUGCGGCCUAUCAGUUUGUUGGUGAGGUAAUGGCCCACCAAGACUAUUACAGGUACGGGCUCUGAGAGGAGUAGCCCGGAGAUGGGUACUGAGACACGGACCCAGGCCCUAUGGGGCGCAGCAGGCGAGAAAACUUUGCAAUGUGCGAAAGCACGACAAGGUUAAUCCGAGUGGUUUCUGCUAAAGAAACCUUUUGUUAGUCCUAGAAACACUAACGAAUAAGGGGUGGGCAAGUUCUGGUGUCAGCCGCCGCGGUAAAACCAGCACCUCAAGUGGUCAGGAUGAUUAUUGGGCCUAAAGCAUCCGUAGCCGGCUCUGUAAGUUUUCGGUUAAAUCUGUACGCUCAACGUACAGGCUGCCGGGAAUACUGCAAAGCUAGGGAGUGGGAGAAGUAGACGGUACUCGGUAGGAAGUGGUAAAAUGCUUUGAUCUAUCGAUGACCACCUGUGGCGAAGGCGGUCUACUAGAACACAUCCGACGGUGAGGGAUGAAAGCUGGGGGAGCAAACCGGAUUAGAUACCCGGGUAGUCCCAGCUGUAAACUAUGCAAACUCAGUGAUGCAUUGGCUUGUGGCCAAUGCAGUGCUGCAGGGAAGCCGUUAAGUUUGCCGCCUGGGAAGUACGUACGCAAGUAUGAAACUUAAAGGAAUUGGCGGGGGAGCACCACAAGGGGUGAAGCCUGCGGUUC
rnacentral:rRNA from 1 species